UACGUAGGGUGCAAGCGUUGUCCGGAAUUAUUGGGCGUAAAGAGCUCGUAGGCGGCUUGUCGCGUCGGCUGUGAAAACCCGGGGCUCAACCCCGGGCCUGCAGUCGAUACGGGCAGGCUAGAGUUCGGCAGGGGAGACUGGAAUUCCUGGUGUAGCGGUGAAAUGCGCAGAUAUCAGGAGGAACACCGGUGGCGAAGGCGGGUCUCUGGGCCGAUACUGACACUGAGGAGCGAAAGCGUGGGGAGCGAACAGG
rnacentral:rRNA from 1 species